AAUAAUGUUGUCCAAAAUAUAUAAGGUUUACAGGUAAACUAUGUGGUCAAUAUAAGCAUAUAAAUUCAAUGGACUGUCAUGGCUAUCGUCCCGUGGAAAUGUACAGGUACAAAACAAAGGAAAUUAAACUUGACCGCGAAAUAUUAACAGCCAAUCAAAUACAAUGAUUUAAGUAAAUCCCUAAUGAAUAUUCAUAGAAAAUAACGUGAAUAUUACUAUACAUAA
rnacentral:lncRNA from 1 species